rnacentral:lncRNA from 10 species
UGCUGUGCUAGCAAUCAGUGAGACUCCGUGGGCGUAGAACCCUCCGAGCCAGGUGUGGGAUAUAAUCUCGUGGCGCGCCGUUUUUUAAGCCCGUCGGAAAAGCGCAGUAUUCGGGUGGGAGUGACCCGAUUUUCCAGGUGCCGUCCGUCACCCCUUUCUUUGACUAGGAAAGGGAACUCCCUGACCCCUUGCGCUUCCCGAGUGAGGCAAUGCCUCACCCUGCUUCGGCUCGCGCACGGUGCGCGCACCCACUGACCUGCGCCCACUGUCUGGCACUCCCUAGUGAGAUGAACCCGGUACCUCAGAUGGAAAUGCAGAAAUCACCCGUCUUCUGCGUCGCUCACGCUGGGAGCUGUAGACCGGAGCUGUUCCUAUUCAGCCAUCUUGGCUCCUCCCCUGACUGAUGUCCUCCUUAUAGGAAUGGGAAAUUCAGAUGCAGACAGGUGCUGAAGACCAUGUGAAGGCACAGGGAGGAGGUGGCCAUCUGCAAGCCAAGGAGAGAAGCCUCAGAAGAAACCAACCCUGCCAACACCGUGACCUCAGACUCCAGCCCCCAGAACUAGCCAUAGUUUGUCUUCCACAACUGGAGGUUUGAAAAGAAGGAUGAGGACACUGAAUCUCAGAGACGUCAAGUUCUUUCAUCGAGAUUCCAUAGAAUGUUCCCUGUUUCUUCAUCUAUGACAUGGGGAUAAUGUGAGUAUACCUACAUCAGAGGGCUGCGAUGAAGACUAAAUAAGCUCCUGCCAUCAAAAGUUGGAGUCUGUUUCCCCACGCCUUGAAUCUGGGCUGGCUCUAUGAUCCACUUUGGACAACAGAAUUUGGUGGAAGUGAUGCUAUGCCAAUGCUGAGGUGAGGCCUCAAGAGGCCUUGUGGGCUGUGACUCUUUUGGAACGCUGCCUAGCUGUCACGUGAACAAGGCUACUGCAUGAUGAGAGACCAUAUGGAGCCAAAACAUGCCUUUCCAGCUGAGGCCCUCCUAGUCCAGCCAGCCCUAGAUGCACAAGCUGGUGACCAAAGAUACAUGAGUGAGUCCAGAUGAGAAGUCCCUCGUUGAGCCCAGCCCAAUUGCUGAUCCACUGACUUGUGAGAUUCCCCAGCACCAUUUACUGAAGAGAUUGCUCUUUCCUCACUGAAUGCUCUUGGCACGCUUGUUGAAGAUCACUUGACCCACAUGAGAGGAUUUAUUUCUGGCUCUUUAUUUUAUUCCAUUUGUCUAUGUGUCUUGUCUUUAUGUCAGUACAACACUGUUUUGAUUACUGUAGCUUUGUAAUAUGUUUUGAAAUCAGACCUCCAACUUUGUUUUUCUGUUAUAAGGUUGUUUUGACUGUUCAGGGUCCCUUGAGAUUCCCUAUGAAUUUUAAGAUGAGUUUUUUCAUUUCUGCCAAAAAAAUGCCAUUAGGAUUUUGAUAGCGAUUUCAUUGAAUCUGUAGAUUGCUUUGAGUAGUAUUGACAUUUGGACAAUAUUAAGUCUUCUAAUCCAUGAGCAAGAGAUGUCUAUCCAUUUAUUUGCAUCUUCUUUAAUUUCUUUCAGCAAUGUUUUGGGGUUUUCAGUAUACAAAUCUUUUGCUUCUUUGGUUAAGUUUAUUCCUAAGUAUUUUAUCCAUUUUGUUUUUUUGAGACACAGUCUUGCUCUGUUGCCCAGGCUGGAGUACAAUGGCAUGAUCUCAGCUCACUGCAACCUCUGCCUCCUGGGUUCAAGUGAUUCUGGUGUCUACCAAGUAGCUGGGACUAACAGGUGUACACCACCAUGCCCAGCUAAUUUUUGUAUUUUUAGUGGAGACAGGGUUUUGCCAUGUUGGCCAGGCUGAUCUUGAACUGCUGACCUCAAGUGAUCCUCCCGCCUUGGCCUCCCAAAGUGCUGGGACUACAGGUGUGAGCCACUGCACUUGAUCCAUUUUAUCCUUUUUGAUAUCAUUGUAAAUAUAAAUGGAAUUGUUUUCUUAAUUUCUUUUUGGAUAUUUCAUCAUUAGUGUAUAGUAAUGCAACUGAUUUUUGUGUGUUGAUUUUGUAUACUGCACCUUUGGGGAAUUUGUUUAUUAUGG